UACGUAGGGCGCAAGCGUUAUCCGGAAUUAUUGGGCGUAAAGAGCUCGUAGGCGGUUUGUCGCGUCUGCCGUGAAAGUCCGGGGCUCAACUCCGGAUCUGCGGUGGGUACGGGCAGACUAGAGUGAUGUAGGGGGAGACUGGAAUUCCUGGUGUAGCGGUGAAAUGCGCAGAUAUCAGGAGGAACACCGAUGGCGAAGGCAGGUCUCUGAGCAUUAACUGACGCUGAGGAGCGAAAGCAUGGGGAGCGAACAGG
rnacentral:rRNA from 1 species